rnacentral:rRNA from 1 species
CCUACGGGAGGCAGCAGUGAGGAAUAUUGGUCAAUGGACGCGAGUCUGAACCAGCCACGUAGCGUGAAGGAUGACUGCCCUCUGGGUUGUAACCUUCUUUUAUAAAGGAAUAAAACGAGGCACGUGUGCCUUUUUGCAUGUACUUUAUGAAUAAGGAUCGGCUAACUCCGUGCCAGCAGCCGCGGUAAUACGGAGGAUCCGAGCGUUAUCCGGAUUUAUUGGGUUUAAAGGGAGCGUAGAUGGGUUGUUAAGUCAGUUGUGAAAGUUUGCGGCUCAACCGUAAAAUUGCAAUUGAUACUGGCAGUCUUGAGUACAGUUGAGGUAGGCGGAAUUCGUGGUGUAGCGGUGAAAUGCUUAGAUAUCACGAAGAACCCCGAUUGCGAAGGCAGCUUACUAAACUGUGACUGACAUUGAUGCUCGAAAGUGUGGGUAUCAAACAGGAUUAGAUACCCGUGUAGUC